rnacentral:rRNA from 1 species
UACGUAGGGUGCAAGCGUUAAAUCGGAAUUACUGGGCGUAAAGCGUGCGCAGGCGGUUUUGUAAGUUUGUCGUGAAAUCCCCGGGCUCAACCUGGGAAUGGCGAUGAAGACUGCAAGGCUAGAAUCUGGCAGAGGGGGGUAGAAUUCCACGUGUAGCAGUGAAAUGCGUAGAGAUGUGGAGGAACACCGAUGGCGAAGGCAGCCCCCUGGGUC